GUUUAGUUUAAACAUAUUUUAUUUGCAAAAGUAGCAAAAGGGAUUGGACACAAGUUAUAACAACAUUAGAGACGUCCUCUCCCAAUAUAAAUAUAAACACAAAGUACAUUAGAUAAUGGCGAAAAAGAAAAAAUACAACAUAGUAGUAAUGCAUGUAAUACAUACUUCAAACAAAAAUUAGAAAUAAAAAGAAAAAAGAAAAAAAAUACAAUAUAAUAAGGAAUAAUAAUGAAACAACUAGACUGGAGUGAAAGGUUGUAAAGUAGAAAUUUAGAAUGUUAAUUGAUUGUUUUAAAUCUUUGUGUUAUUCUGAUAUAAGAUUGUACGGACUCAAAAAUGUCUUUGUUUUGCUGAAAAGAAAGGUCACCGUCACCAGCUAAUAGAAGCUCAAUGGAUAUAGCAUAACUUUCUAAUUUUGAAAACAGUAUUUCUCUUGCUUCGUUAUGAAGAGCGCACUCUAAAAAAUAGUGUAUACUAUCCUCAACAGGGUGGCCACAGCUGCAUGCAGGACUUGGUUUAAUAUUAACACGAUGUAAAUCUGAAUUUAAAGAACUGCACAUAUUUCUCAAACGUGUAUGAAUGAUAUUAAGUUUUCUAUCCCCACAACUAAAAUAGGAAGGUGGCUGUAUCAAUUUGGACUUCAUCUUUCGUUUAAAAAUAUUUAUGUUUUUGGACGUACGUAUGUCGGGGGGAAGGCUAUUCCAUUCAAUAGUAGUGGAUGGGAAAAAGGAUUUUCUAGUUAUGUCUAGUCUAUAACCGGGUACUACAUAAUUAUUACUGUUUCGCAAAUCGUAGUUAGAUACUUGACCAACAAGCGGGGGCAUUAAAUCACAUAGAUAAUCAGGGGCAGUCCCAUUAUGUAAAGAAUAGAACAUAUUGAGCUUUCUGGAUUUUCUUCUGUCCACAAGCAAUUGCCAGCCAGUUUCAAAAUAUAUAGCUUCCCGACUAGCAAACACGGGCAACCCAGUUACUAACCUCCCUGCUUCUAACUGAACAUGUUCUAAAUUGUCGGCUUCUUGUUGAGUACAACCAUCCCAUAACUCACAUGCAUAUUCCAUAACGGGUCUUAUAAAAGUUAAAUAUAUACGAGCAAGAUAAUUUCUAUUCAAUACAUAUUUCAAUUUUUUAAGAACAUUUAAUCUUGUGCUUGCACACUUUAAAAUAUUUUCUAUAUGUGUAUGGAAUUUACCAUUGGAAUCAAAAGUAAUCCCUAAGUGUUUAUGACAGGAGACAAAUUCUACUAAUUGGUUUUGAAAUUCUAUUUCAAUAUCAUCUGGGGAAGUAUGGCAGGAGAAUAUCAUAGCCUUUGUCUUAUUAGGGUUAAAGUUAAUAAGCCAAUCUUUAGACCAUACUGAAAUUUGUUCUAAAUCGCUGUUUAAGACAUCCUCUAUAGUGUAAGGAUUAUUGCUGGAAUAAGAAAGAGAUGUAUCAUCAGCAAACAAUCGAGUUAGACUUGUCAAAUUAUCAGCUAUGUCAUUUACAUAAAUAAGAAAUAGUAGGGGACCUAAUACAGAGCCUUGCGGAACUCCUGCAUUAGUAUUAUCAAAAGGCGAAUAGGCAUUUGAAACAAAAACGCUUUGUUUUCUAUUUGAAAUAUAACUUUCAAACCAUUUAUACAGAUUUCCAUCAAUACCAUACGCUUUUAGUUUUAUUAAGAGGCCACUAUGCCAUACCCUAUCAAAAGCUUUCGAGAUAUCACAUAAUAUAAGAGAUGUUAUACAGCGAUCAUCAAGUGACAUGCAUAUCCUAUAGUAAAUUUCUAUUAGCUGGUGAACGGUAGAAUGACCUGGAAUAAAAC
rnacentral:lncRNA from 1 species